GAUGAACGCUGGCGGCGUGCCUAAUACAUGCAAGUCGAGCGAACAGACGAGGAGCUUGCUCCUCUGACGUUAGCGGCGGACGGGUGAGUAACACGUGGAUAACCUACCUAUAAGACUGGGAUAACUUCGGGAAACCGGAGCUAAUACCGGAUAAUAUAUUGAACCGCAUGGUUCAAUAGUGAAAGACGGUUUUGCUGUCACUUAUAGAUGGAUCCGCGCCGCAUUAGCUAGUUGGUAAGGUAACGGCUUACCAAGGCGACGAUGCGUAGCCGACCUGAGAGGGUGAUCGGCCACACUGAAACUGAGACACGGUCCAGACUCCUACGGGAGGCAGCAGUAGGGAAUCUUCCGCAAGGGGCGAAAGCCUGACGGAGCAACGCCGCGUGAGUGAUGAAGGUCUUCGGAUCGUAAAACUCUGUUAUUAGGGAAGAACAAAUGUGUAAGUAACUAUGCACGUCUUGACGGUACCUAAUCAGAAAGCCACGGCUAACUACGU
rnacentral:rRNA from 1 species